UGAGUGAAGAAGGGUUUCGGCUCGUAAAGCUCUGUUGUUGAAGAAGAACGUGCGUGAGAGUAACUGUUCACGCAGUGACGGUAUUCAACCAGAAAGUCACGGCUAACUACGUGCCAGCAGCCGCGGANA
rnacentral:rRNA from 1 species